UUAAGCGACUAAGCGUACACGGUGGAUGCCCUGGCAGUCAGAGGCGAUGAAGGACGUGCUAAUCUGCGAUAAGCGUCGGUAAGGUGAUAUGAACCGUUAUAACCGGCGAUUUCCGAAUGGGGAAACCCAGUGUGUUUCGACACACUAUCAUUAACUGAAUCCAUAGGUUAAUGAGGCGAACCGGGGGAACUGAAACAUCUAAGUACCCCGAGGAAAAGAAAUCAACCGAGAUUCCCCCAGUAGCGGCGAGCGAACGGGGAGGAGCCCAGAGCCUGAAUCAGUGUGUGUGUUAGUGGAAGCGUCUGGAAAGGCGCGCGAUACAGGGUGACAGCCCCGUACACAAAAAUGCACAUGCUGUGAGCUCGAUGAGUAGGGCGGGACACGUGGUAUCCUGUCUGAAUAUGGGGGGACCAUCCUCCAAGGCUAAAUACUCCUGACUGACCGAUAGUGAACCAGUACCGUGAGGGAAAGGCGAAAAGAACCCCGGCGAGGGGAGUGAAAAAGAACCUGAAACCGUGUACGUACAAGCAGUGGGAGCACAGAGCAAUCUGUGUGACUGCGUACCUUUUGUAUAAUGGGUCAGCGACUUAUAUUCUGUAGCAAGGUUAACCGAAUAGGGGAGCCGAAGGGAAACCGAGUCUUAACUGGGCGUUAAGUUGCAGGGUAUAGACCCGAAACCCGGUGAUCUAGCCAUGGGCAGGUUGAAGGUUGGGUAACACUAACUGGAGGACCGAACCGACUAAUGUUGAAAAAUUAGCGGAUGACUUGUGGCUGGGGGUGAAAGGCCAAUCAAACCGGGAGAUAGCUGGUUCUCCCCGAAAGCUAUUUAGGUAGCGCCUCGUGAAUUCAUCUCCGGGGGUAGAGCACUGUUUCGGCAAGGGGGUCAUCCCGACUUACCAACCCGAUGCAAACUGCGAAUACCGGAGAAUGUUAUCACGGGAGACACACGGCGGGUGCUAACGUCCGUCGUGAAGAGGGAAACAACCCAGACCGCCAGCUAAGGUCCCAAAGUCAUGGUUAAGUGGGAAACGAUGUGGGAAGGCCCAGACAGCCAGGAUGUUGGCUUAGAAGCAGCCAUCAUUUAAAGAAAGCGUAAUAGCUCACUGGUCGAGUCGGCCUGCGCGGAAGAUGUAACGGGGCUAAACCAUGCACCGAAGCUGCGGCAGCGACGCUGAUGCGUUGUUGGGUAGGGGAGCGUUCUGUAAGCCUGCGAAGGUGUGCUGUGAGGCAUGCUGGAGGUAUCAGAAGUGCGAAUGCUGACAUAAGUAACGAUAAAGCGGGUGAAAAGCCCGCUCGCCGGAAGACCAAGGGUUCCUGUCCAACGUUAAUCGGGGCAGGGUGAGUCGACCCCUAAGGCGAGGCCGAAAGGCGUAGUCGAUGGGAAACAGGUUAAUAUUCCUGUACUUGGUGUUACUGCGAAGGGGGGACGGAGAAGGCUAUGUUGGCCGGGCGACGGUUGUCCCGGUUUAAGCGUGUAGGCUGGUUUUCCAGGCAAAUCCGGAAAAUCAAGGCUGAGGCGUGAUGACGAGGCACUACGGUGCUGAAGCAACAAAUGCCCUGCUUCCAGGAAAAGCCUCUAAGCAUCAGGUAACAUCAAAUCGUACCCCAAACCGACACAGGUGGUCAGGUAGAGAAUACCAAGGCGCUUGAGAGAACUCGGGUGAAGGAACUAGGCAAAAUGGUGCCGUAACUUCGGGAGAAGGCACGCUGAUAUGUAGGUGAAGUCCCUCGCGGAUGGAGCUGAAAUCAGUCGAAGAUACCAGCUGGCUGCAACUGUUUAUUAAAAACACAGCACUGUGCAAACACGAAAGUGGACGUAUACGGUGUGACGCCUGCCCGGUGCCGGAAGGUUAAUUGAUGGGGUUAGCGCAAGCGAAGCUCUUGAUCGAAGCCCCGGUAAACGGCGGCCGUAACUAUAACGGUCCUAAGGUAGCGAAAUUCCUUGUCGGGUAAGUUCCGACCUGCACGAAUGGCGUAAUGAUGGCCAGGCUGUCUCCACCCGAGACUCAGUGAAAUUGAACUCGCUGUGAAGAUGCAGUGUACCCGCGGCAAGACGGAAAGACCCCGUGAACCUUUACUAUAGCUUGACACUGAACAUUGAGCCUUGAUGUGUAGGAUAGGUGGGAGGCUUUGAAGUGUGGACGCCAGUCUGCAUGGAGCCGACCUUGAAAUACCACCCUUUAAUGUUUGAUGUUCUAACGUUGACCCGUAAUCCGGGUUGCGGACAGUGUCUGGUGGGUAGUUUGACUGGGGCGGUCUCCUCCUAAAGAGUAACGGAGGAGCACGAAGGUUGGCUAAUCCUGGUCGGACAUCAGGAGGUUAGUGCAAUGGCAUAAGCCAGCUUGACUGCGAGCGUGACGGCGCGAGCAGGUGCGAAAGCAGGUCAUAGUGAUCCGGUGGUUCUGAAUGGAAGGGCCAUCGCUCAACGGAUAAAAGGUACUCCGGGGAUAACAGGCUGAUACCGCCCAAGAGUUCAUAUCGACGGCGGUGUUUGGCACCUCGAUGUCGGCUCAUCACAUCCUGGGGCUGAAGUAGGUCCCAAGGGUAUGGCUGUUCGCCAUUUAAAGUGGUACGCGAGCUGGGUUUAGAACGUCGUGAGACAGUUCGGUCCCUAUCUGCCGUGGGCGCUGGAGAACUGAGGGGGGCUGCUCCUAGUACGAGAGGACCGGAGUGGACGCAUCACUGGUGUUCGGGUUGUCAUGCCAAUGGCACUGCCCGGUAGCUAAAUGCGGAAGAGAUAAGUGCUGAAAGCAUCUAAGCACGAAACUUGCCCCGAGAUGAGUUCUCCCUGACUCCUUGAGAGUCCUGAAGGAACGUUGAAGACGACGACGUUGAUAGGCCGGGUGUGUAAGCGCAGCGAUGCGUUGAGCUAACCGGUACUAAUGAACCGUGAGGCUUAACCU
rnacentral:rRNA from 1 species